AGACCCGAAACCCGGUGAUCUAGCCAUGGGCAGGUUGAAGGUUGGGUAACACUAACUGGAGGACCGAACCGACUAAUGUUGAAAAAUUAGCGGAUGACCUGUGGCUGGGGGUGAAAGGCCAAUCAAACCGGGAGAUAGCUGGUUCUCCCCGAAAGCUAUUUAGGUAGCGCCUCGUGAAUUCAUCUCCGGGGGUAGAGCACUGUUUCGGCUAGGGGGCCAUCCCGGCUUACCAACCCGAUGCAAACUGCGAAUACCGGAGAAUGUUAUCACGGGAGACACACGGCGGGUGCUAACGUCCGUCGUGAAGAGGGAAACAACCCAGACCGCCAGCUAAGGUCCCAAAGUCAUGGUUAAGUGGGAAACGAUGUGGGAAGGCCCAGACAGCCAGGAUGUUGGCUUAGAAGCAGCCAUCAUUUAAAGAAAGCGUAAUAGCUCACUGGUCGAGUCGGCCUGCGCGGAAGAUGUAACGGGGCUAAACCAUGCACCGAAGCUGCGGCAGCGAACGUAUCACUUAAAGCGAUUCAGCGGGUUACGAUUGACGGAGCGAAGCGACGUCAAAGCGUAUACAAAGUCGAGU
rnacentral:rRNA from 1 species